rnacentral:lncRNA from 1 species
CCUAAUCACCAGUGUAAUGGGAGGUGGGAUCUUGGAUCAUGCUGGGCCUCAUGGAAUUUGAGGCCUUAUAACAAAGACCUCAUAGAGCUACCUUGUCCCACCCACCAUGGAAGAUACAACAAGAAGGUGACAUCUACGAACCAGAAUGUGGCCCUUGUCAGACAUCAAAUCUGCCAGUGCCUUGGUCUUGGACUUCCCAUUAUCUGGAACUGUAAGAAGUAAGUUUCUGUUGCUUAUAAGCCACCCCUUCUAUGGUAACUUGUUAUAGCAACUGAAAUGGACUAAGAUGGUAGUAAUACAGGAGAAUGUUCUUAUUUUAGGCUAAAAUUUUCAUGAAGUGUCAUGAUGUUGGCAACUCAUUUUAAAAUGGUUUGGAAAAAUGCACAUGUGCAUUGUUUGUGUAUAUUGAGGCAGCAAAGAUAUGGCAAAAUGGUAAUUGCUGAACCUGUGUGAAAGGUAUGUGGAUUCUCUAUUGUUCUUCCAAUGAUUCUGUAGAUUCGCAUUUUUUUUUUAAAUGAAAAUUUGAGGGCUGGGGAUAUGGCUCAAGUGGUAGCGCGCUCGCCUAGCAUGCGUGAGGCACUGGGUUCGGUUCUCAGCACCACAUAAAAAUAAAAUAAAGAUAUUGGGUCCACCUACAACUAAAAAAAUAUUAAAAAAAAGAAGAAAAGUUGAAGAGAAACAGCAAACGGACUAGCUUUUGGGAUGAUGGGAGGAGAUGAAGCAGGGGCUGCAGAAUUGGGAAGAACAAAGUAUCAGGGAAAUAAAGAGGAAACAGAAGGAGUACAAAUAACAAUUUUAAAAAACAUUUAGUAAUGGACUUGGGGGGAAAAUGAGAAAGGCAAAGUAGAAUGGGAGAAGUUAACGAAGGAGCAGAAGAUUCAGCACCUACAAAAUUGAAGCCGCCAAGAUGGGUGCAGUGGCACAAGCCUGUAAUCCCAGCAGCUUGAGAGGCUGAGGCAGGAGGAUGGCGAAUUCAAAACCCGGCCUCAGCAAAAGCGAGGCACUAAGCAAUUAGUGAGACCCUGUCCGUAAAUACAAUACAAAACGGGUGGGGAUGUGACUCAGUGGUUGAGUGCUCCUGAGGUCAAUCCCCAGUACCCUUCCACACCAAAAAAUUGAAGCCUCCAAAGCAGAAAAUCAAAAUUUGAUAGAAACACGAACAGCUGGAAUAAAGAUAUAAUUUUCUAGAAUAACAAAGACAUUAUACCAUAUAUCAGGGGAAAUUAAUUAUACCAUAUAUCAGGGGAAAUUAUCAGGAGGGUCACCUUAGAGAUACUUACAUUCUAGUAAAGUCAUUACACUUCAAAGAUAAUGAUCAAGUCAUUUAUAGGGAAGAAAAUCAGGCUGGUCUCAGUUUUGUACAGUGACUUUCAAUGCCAGAAGAUGGUGUGAUACUUUAAAAGAUCUUCAAGGAAAAAAAGUGUUGCACAAAGAAUGUAUAUCCAGGACAGGCGGGGGAUGGGGGCGAUUAGUGGUACAGUGUCCCUGGGUUCAAUCCCUGGUACCUCCCAAAAUAAAAUAAAAAGUAAUAGCUAGAAGAAAAAGAAAAACUUGCCAAAAGUUGAGAAUUAUUUAUAGAAACAAAGAAAAUGGAUUAUAUAGUGAUAGCUUUUUAUUUAUUUGGUACUGGAGAUUGAACCCAGGGGUACCUUACUGCUGAACUACAUCCUCAGCUCUUAUUUUUUUAUUUUGAGACAGGGUCUCAAAUUGCUUAGGGCUUGGCUAAAUUGCUGAGGCUGGCCUCAAACUUGUGAUCCUUCUGCCUCAGCCCUCUGAAUCACCGAUUAUAGAUAUUUGCCACUGUACCUGGCUAGUGAUAGCUUUUUAAAAUUGCAAAAACAGAAAGUAUAACAAUGUUAAUAUGACAGAACUAAGGCUGUUAUAUUUGACAUAUCACUAGAUGUUGAAGCAAGAUUAAUUCACCUCUUAAGAGAAAAAAAAAAGAUAAUCAGAUUGAAUCUCUAGGCAGCACCCACCUUUAUCCUGUGCUCAGACAAGUGGCUGCUUAAGACAAAGUGUUUUCAGAAACGUUGAGAAAAGAAAGAAAGAAAGAAAGAAAGAAAGAAAGAAAAAGGCCGCAGGUCAUAUUGUUUUUAUUGUUGUUGUUUUUGUUGUUCCUUUUUUCUUUUGAGGUGCUAGAGAUUAAAGCUUGGGCCUUGCGCAUGCAAAGCAUGCGCUUUACCUCUGACCUCCACCUCCAGCGCUGGUCAUAAUUUUAAUAUCACAUAUGGUGGAGAUGAAGAAAAGCACUUUAUAAUGGGAAUCACAAUAAGGAUUCUAGUUAUGAUAUCUAUAUAUCAAAUUCCAAAGCACAAUAUUUAUGAAUCUAAAAUUACAGAAAAAACAGGUGAGCAAACAAGGAGUAGAAGAGUUUAAUUUGCCUCUCUAAUCAAAGAUAGAUCAGUUGGAAAAAAUAAAUUGAAUACCUAAACAUCAUAUUUAGAGAAGCAGGUUCAGGUCCAUAAUCUCUUUUCCAAAGCACUGCAAUUUUUCAAUGUUUGGAAAGAUGAUAUUGUACAUAUAGACUAUGUAACAUUUCAAUUGGAUCCAUAGUCAAACAUAUUGAUAUUUCUGCAAUAAAUCAUGAUGAGGUAAAUGACAAUGAUAAAUAGCCUCCGAUCAGUUCAGAAUUGGAUUUACUAUCAAAAGACUUAAAAAACUUUCAGAUUUUAGGACGUUUUGGAUUUAGGAAUUGCAGAGUUGGGAAGCUAUGUAUUUGGUUCCACAUAAAGGAAAACUUUUAACAUAUAACUGUCUAAAAAAGAAGUACCUUGGGAGUGCCUGCUACUGGGGCUGGGGUGGGUGGGACAGGUCCUAGCGGAGAUGACCAGUUUUCAAAUGAUUCAAGCAUCAAGUGGGAAGCUGAACAAGGAGACUACUACCGAGUUUUUUUUUUUUUUCUAACCUGAGAUUCUAGGGUCACACUAGUUGAGGGAGAGGUGGGUUAGAGAAAGGGCAUGAUCCAGGCAUAGUGGUACACGCCUGUAAUCCCAAUGAUUUGAGAGGCUGAGGUAGGAAGAUCACAAGUUCAAGGCCAGCCUGGGCAAAUUAGGGAGACCCUGUCUCAAAAAAAAAAAAAGGCUGGGGUGUAGUUCAGCGGUAGAGCGUUCAUGGGUUCAGUUCCUAGUACCAGAGAGAUUGAAAGAGAGAGAGAGUGGGGAUGAGAAGAGGGGUUGUCACAAUCCUAAGCUUUCACUGUUAUAUGUCUGUUGAAUUUUAAAGCAAAAUGGCACCUGUCCAGUGUUCUCACAUGUGGUUGGGAAAUGUGUACACAAGCUACUAAAUCAGUGAAGAUAACAGGCAAGGAACAUUUUAUAACUCUCAGAGGUUGGAUCCCAUGUGGUGAAAGAUGGUAGCAGAGGGGCUUUCAGAGACCAGCUACCCUGUCCUCAUGCUAUUCAUGGCUGGACACUCCUAAGAUGCUUCUGAAUUCUCUGUUCCACAAAACACAUUUGUAAAUGUCUGAAUUUAGGCCUGCAUGGCUGGGGCCACAGCCUGUUCAGGUGGUGGGCCAGUGAUUCUGAUAAUAGAGAACUUGGCCCAGCUCAGAGAUCUUAGUUGGUUGCUGGGGAGGGACGGUGGUGGUUAAAGGGCUUUAGGAAUGCCUGACUUGGUGAUUAUGAGCUGGAACCGGAAGUGGGAAGACAGCCCUUCAGUGCUGGUUGAUGCUACUUGCUGUGUUGGUGACCUCUUUGUGGUGCACAGGGCUUCCUGCGUGUUGUCUCUGUUCAUUCCUUUUUAAUACUAUUUGUGCUGGGGAUUGAACCCAGGGCCUCAUGCAUAAGCUCUACCACUGAACAAGCCCCCUUUUGCCCUUUUAAAACUCAUUCUGUCUCCAUAAAAUAACUAUCAGUGUUGCCUUUCAUUUACUGAGGAAGUUCUUUCAAUUAUCCUCUUGGAGUCACUCAAGCUGUGAUUAUUGCCACACUCUCUAUGUUCCCACACCACUCAACCUGGAAAACGGUGUGUGAGCUUUACUCUCUGAAGCCUUUCUGACCCCCUUUACAAAAUCAGGCAAACACUCAGUGGCAAGAGAACAAAGUACACAAGAGGGCAGAGAGCAAUAGGACCACAGGGUCAAAAGUCCUUCCAACAUUGAUUUCUUUCCACUCAAACAAAGUAAGACAAGUUGCACUGGCUCAUUUUAUUUAGAAAAUAAAGAUAAGCGCGACAAAGAAAACAAAGAUCUCACCACCUGGAGAUAAGUACUGUUGAUGUUUUCAGCGGGUGGUUUUUAACUGGGUAGCCAGGAGCCCCAGGAUUCUGUGGUGGUGCUUCCAAGACCCCCAAAAUGGCAAUUAGAAUUUAAUCAAAGAAGUAUAAGAGAUUUUGAACAUAUAAAGCUGCAAUAAACAAAUGUACAGGCAAGGUGGGGAUCAGCGAUAAUCUCACCUAGAUGUAUGAACACAUGUGUCCCUGGGUCAGCCUCCGGUGCAGGCCCUCCUGCUGUCCCUGUGUUUAUCUGCAGAUGCCGAUUGGCUUGAAUCUAGGAGUCAGGAGACUGGAGCAGGUAGAGCUGCAGGGAACCAGAAGGCUCAGGGCCUGCCCUUCUGCAUCUGUACAUCUACCUCACUGAGAGGUCACAGGCUGUGCAACAAGAAACAAUUCUGUAACACACAGCAGUGUGGUCCCAUGGUAUUCUGGAUCAUUUUUAGCAUUCCUCUUUCAUUUUAUUAUGAGGCAUGAUAAAUACUUCUAAAUAGAAAUACUUAUCAAGAAGUGGUGGGAUAAUAAUGCUGAAUUCUACCUCUCCCAUUCCCAAGGCCACAGUGUCCUACAUCCUGUGGCUCCUCUUGCGCCUGGCUGGUAAACUAUCUCAUUCCUUUAGAAUAGGAUCCAGAAUGGGGGCUGGGGACAUAGCUUAAUUGGUAGAGUGCUUGCCUUGCAUGUACAAGGACCUGGGUUCAACCCCUAGCACCACAAGGAGAAAAAAAAAGGAUCCAGAAAUCCAAGGGAAAGAUGCAUGAGGGUACUCAGUUCCACCCUGCCCUCUAGUCCUGGGAAUUGAACCCAGGGUUGCUUUAUGAUUGAGCUUCAUUCCUUUUGUAUUUUGUACUUUGAGACAGGGUCUUGCUUAGUUGCCAAGGCUGGCCUUGAACUUGAGAUCCUUUUGCCUCAGUCAUCCAAAUUGCUGGGAUCACAGGUGCAUGCUGCCAUGACUGGCUGUAUACUCAGUGUUUAAAUGGAAAUGCAAAACAGAAAACUAACUUCCUUCCUUCCUUCCUUCCCUCCUUUUCUUUGUACUGGGAGUUGAAUCCAGGAGUGCUCUACCAUUGUGCUAUCUCCCCAGCCCUUUUUAAAAAAAAAUUAAAAAUUUGGGAUAGAAUCUCAUUAAGUUGCUGAGGCGGGCAUGGAAUUUGCAAUCCUCCUGCCUCAGCCUCCAGAAUGGCUGGGAUUACAGGUAUGUGCCAUCAUGUUCAAGCUGGAAUCUUUUUUUUAAAAUUUAUUUUAUUUUUUUUUUUAGUUACCGGCAGACACAACAUCUUUGUUGGUAAUGUGGUGCUGAGGAUCGAACCCGGGCCGCACGCAUGCCAGACGAGCGCGCUACCGCUUGAGCCACAUCCCCAGCCCUAGCUGGGUUCUUGAAGGCUUUCAAGACUAUGAUCUCAGCAGAUCUGGGCUGGAGAAAUCAGAGGAGAAGUUGAAAAGUUCCUGCACCCAGUCCCCAUUAUGCCACCCAGACUGGGGGCAGAUACUUGAGUACAUCUGGGGACUCUGAUAAGGACUGUGCUCCUUCCCAGGCACAGCCUGAGGAAAUUGGCUGAGAUCCUAGUGUCCUCUCCACUUGUGUAGGGAGGGGAGGAUGGCACAUCUGGGCUGAGAGGGCCCAAGAUAGCCAGUCCUCCCUGAGCUCCCUGCAGCCCUCACAGCAUGCACCUGCCAGGAUCUGAAGGGACUGCUGCUGGGUCAGGAUGAGGAGAAGCGGGUGGUGCACAGGCUGAGAUUGUGGGAAGAAUGUUCUGGGUGGAGGGAAUAGCUCUGGGGUGGAGGUUCUGGGCUGGGGGCUCAUUUGGCAGGCUGGCAGCAAGAAGGGGUGGGACCAGGCAGUGAAGCAGCCAAGGGAGGGACAGAGUAAUAGGUGGUGAGGAAGGAGAGGGGUCUGGCUACUAGGCAUAGUAGUCGUGUAGUCCAGGGAGAGGACCCUAAGUUUAUUCUCAGAGUUGGUGGGAAACCACUGAAAGUUUUGAAAAGGGAAGUGACAUGAUCUGGCAGCUUCACUCUAGCUGCUGUGUGGGAAAAUGCCUUCAGGAGAGCAAGAGCGGAAUUCUGCAGAUGAUCACGAUAAUCCAGACUGAGAAGCAGUUUGCCUGUUUCUAGCUGUGCGAUCUAAAGCUGCCCGCUGGCUGUGAGCACUUGAAAUGUGGCUGGUCUGAACUGAGAGACGCUGUAAGUGUCAACGACUUAGUACAGAUUUCAGAAGAUAAAAUAUCACAUGGAUGGUUUUUAAAAUAUUGAUUUCAUGCCAGGCAUGGUGGCUCAUGCCUAUAAUCCCAGCCUCUUGAGAGGCUGAGACAGGAGGAUCACAAGUUAGAGACCAGCCUCAGCAAUUUAUCGAGGCCCUAUGCAGUUUAGUGACACACUAGGGUGUGGCUCUGUGGUUAAGCACCCUGGGCUCAACUCCCAGGACUCCCCUUCUCCCCCCCAAAAUUGAUUACAAGUUGAAACCUAUUCAAAUAUUGAUUACAUGUUGAAAUGAUACUAUUCUGACUAUGUUAGGUAAGUUAAAAUGUAUUACCAAAAUUAAUCUCACCUUCAUUUUACGUCUCAAAUCUUGUGGAAGAUCUGAUCUUAAAACCGUGGCCCUGGUUGGGUUUCGGUUGGACACUGCGGGACCUGAGUGUUAACAGCAGAGUGCCCAGAAAUGGCGGGACUCUGCUUUGUCUCUGAAAGUCGCGGAGGAGUGCAGGGGAGAAGCGCUCAGGGCUGUGCAAGUUGUUCAUUGGUUUAUACAAAAUAGGGUUGCUGGGGAAGGAGCGAGUCUGGAGAAAGGAAACUCCUGAUUACGUUCAGAAAUGCGGAGGGAGAGAAGCGGGCAGUUCGAGGUUAUUCGUGUUGCGGGGGAUGGAGGUGACAGCUCCAGGGGAGGUCUGAGGCACUUCAGCUUUUAGAGAUAGGGAAAAGGGAGAAAGAGGCUGGGAAAGAAUGAGGAGGAGAGGCAGAAGCCCAGGAGGGUGGCUGGAGGAGGCGAGGCAUUGAGGGUGUGGCUAUGGGGCAUAUAUUUUGUAUCUGGAGAGUGGAGUCUCUGCUUUCUGAUCCCCUUGUGAGCCUUGUCCCUCUGCCACACCAUUAUGCCAUGAUGUUCUACCUUACUUCAAGCCCUGAGGAAUGGAGCUAGGGAUCAAACCCAGGGCUUCAAGGUAAGAGCUCUAUCAUGGAGCUAGCCUUCUAUGGACUAAGAUCUCUGAAACCAUGAGUCUUAUCCUCCUCUACAAUUGGGUCCUUUUAGUCCCAGAAGCAAAAAAAAAAAAAAAAAAAAAAAGAACACACACACACAAAACAUUUGGCAGCCCUUCUUGCGCACAGGAUUAAAAAUCCAAACUCUUUAGCAAGACCUUCCAUGAUUCGACCUGUUUUGGAAGCUUGCAGGAGCUCAACACUUUGUGGACAGGAGGAUUUUCUCUUUCCUUGAAUGUUUGUCACAUUUUUGUGUACACAGUGAAGGUGGUCAAGAAACAUCUGGAAGCCUAUCAGGGUAUUUUCCAUAUUCUGUUCAGUUCUUUGUGGCCUGUCUUGGCUUCUCUAUUGGAGAAUAGCUUCUGGAAGGUGGGGGCAGAGGUGGGUCUGGGUGUACCAGUCGGGCCCCCAGCUGCAGUGACAGCUUUCAGUGUUUAGACUUCUGAACAUUCAUGCCCCUGUCAGGUGUGGAUACAGGACCCAGGUUUAGAAAAGUGUUUUAUUAUGAGUGAAGGAUGCACAAGCAAAGUAAGAUGGGUUACUGCCCUCAGGGCCAGGGUCUGAGCCUCUCAGGCUCCUGCCUAGCCCCAGGCGAAUCCUCCAGCCUCCUGUUAAUUUGUGGGAAUCUCCUCUUCUUUCAACACCCCCUCCCCCAGUGCUUUUUGUUAAGGACAAGUAGAGGUGGUGCAUGCCUAUAAUCCCAGCCCCUCAGGAGCCUGGGCAGGAGGAUCACAAGUUCAAGGCUAGCCUCAGCAAAUUAGUGAGGUCCUGUCUCAAAAUAAAAAUGACUGGCCUGGCACGGUGCCACACCCUGUAAUCCCAGUGGUUUGGAAGGCUGACGCAGGAGGAUCGUGAGUUCAAAGCCAGCCUCAGCGCCUCAGCAAGACCCUGGCUCUAAAUAAAAUAUAAAAAGGGCUGGAGAUAUGUUCAGUGGUUAAGCCCCUUUGGUUCAAUCUCUGGUACAAAAAACAAAGAGAGAAUUGCCUCCCAAAGAGUUGCCUGAGUAGGAGAAUUGCAAAAGAAAACAGAAGAGUGAAGGACAGUUGGGAACAUUUUGCUGACAAAGUCAGAAAAAGAAUUUUUGAGCACGUUUGGACAUUGCUUUAUAGCUAAGAGUUGUAAAUGAGCCUCCUUGGUUGAGUGUGGAUGAUUAAAGCUUUACAUGAGUCCACUAUGGAACUCAUGGAACUUUACAUGAGUUUCUUGUUUGAGCAAGAAGGGUUAGUUUUUUUAUUUUAUGAAAUAGAGAAUCCCUAUCCCAUCUGAACAUAUAUUUAACAGGUUUGAAGGGGACCUGAGUUAGUGUCAGCUUCACAGAAGUUAUAAUGUCUCUGUCUUAUUCUGGGAAGGAGUGUGGGUAGUCCAUCUUCAUAUUCCCUGUAGUUCCUGGAAUACUGCUUAAAUUAGACCAACUCUAGAUAGAGCAAAGUGGAGAGAGGGGAAGGGAGGGGGAAUGGGGGUAGGAAGGACAGUGGAAUGAGAGGGACAUUAUUACCCUAAGUACAUGUAUAAAGACAUGAAUGGUGACUCUUCUUUGUGUACAACCAGAGAAAUGAAAAUUUGUGCUCUAUAUGUGUAAUAUGAAUUGUAACUCAUUCUGCU